rnacentral:lncRNA from 1 species
UGGAAAUGCAAACUAGUACAACUACUAUAGAAAUCAAGAUGGAGCUUCCUCAGAAAAUUAAAAAUGGAAAUGUCAUUUUCUCCAGCUAUACCAUGCUGGGGUUAAUUCCAAAGAUAAUUGAAGGUAUCAGAUUAUUGCCAUGUAUAAAUAUUCAUGUUUGUAGUGAUGUAAUUCACAGUAGUUAUGCUGUGUCAAGAGGAGAAUGGUUAAAGAAAGUGUAGCAUGUAUACACAAGGGAAUAUUAUUCAGCCAUAAAGAAAAAUGAAAUGUCAUUUGCAGAAAAAUGAAUAGAACUGGAAGCCAUCAUGUUCUGUCAAAUAAGCCAGACUCAGAAAAUUAAAUAUUGUGUGUUUUCUCUUACAUGGGAAACCUAAAAUGUAAAUAUGUGAGUGGAUAAAAUAAUGGAGAAAUGAUAAAAAACUGGAAGAUAUACUGUUGGAGAAGAGGAUCAGGAGUUAUGAGGCGAGAAGGAACAGAGGUUACUACAGUGAGUCUCCAACUUAGGAAUGAGUUCCGUUCUGGGAAAAUGUUCAUAAGUUGGAUUCAUCUGUAAGUCUAACAAACUGUGCCCAGCUUCCUUCCAGCCAUAAUCUGACUCAGGGUAUGGCCUUUAUGAGAAAUCAGGGGCUUUGAGAAACUCUCCUUUCAUGUGUCAGUGGUCAGCUUCAGCAAAAGGAAAGCCAAGGGGGUGUGGUUGCUCCCUGCUGUUUAGACUCUUCAGCCAUCAGAUCUGUACCUUCAGGUCAAGGAACAAUUCGUCUUUGGAAGAUGGAAGUACUCAGGAUAAUUAAAUGACUUUCUUCCUAGCAAUGGAGAUCUUGUUUAUUUGAGCAAAUCAGUGAAAAAAUUAUUUUACCAUGGGCUUACAAGAGGCUGGGAGUAUUUCUCUCACUAAUCCUGAAAUAACAGAGAUUCCUGAAAUGCAGAUACUUCAUCCAAGUUGAUUCCUGCAUUGCAGAUCUGAACUAUUGAUAAAAUAGGAUAAAAAGAAGCAGCAAUUGAAUCUGUUGAUUGUUGAGUCUGCUUUGUGGCCUAAAAUUCUAGAAAUAUCAGAACAUCUGCAGUUUGACAAUUAAAGAGCUUUCAUUUCUCAUCACAGAGUAGAUUUGGUGGUGGUUUUUACCUCUUUCAACUCACCUGCUGCAGAUUUCCCAAAAGCCAGAAAGUGUUCUGUAGCCCAGCAGAGAAGGAAGAGAUAAGUCUGAGACCCAACCUCAGAGGCAG